AAUGAACGCUGGCGGCAUGCCUAACACAUGCAAGUCGAACGAAGGCUUCGGCCUUAGUGGCGCACGGGUGCGUAACGCGUGGGAAUCUGCCCUUGGGUUCGGAAUAACAGUUAGAAAUGACUGCUAAUACCGGAUGAUGUCGUAAGACCAAAGAUUUAUCGCCCAAGGAUGAGCCCGCGUAGGAUUAGCUAGUUGGUGGGGUAAAGGCCUACCAAGGCGACGAUCCUUAGCUGGUCUGAGAGGAUGAUCAGCCACACUGGGACUGAGACACGGCCCAGACUCCUACGGGAGGCAGCAGUGGGGAAUAUCGGACAAUGGGCGAAAGCCUGAUCCAGCAAUGCCGCGUGAGUGAUGAAGGCCUUAGGGUUGUAAAGCUCUUUUACCCGGGAUGAUAAUGACAGUACCGGGAGAAUAAGCUCCGGCUAACUUCGUG
rnacentral:rRNA from 1 species